AUUGAACGCUGGCGGCAGGCCUAACACAUGCAAGUCGAACGCGUGGCGGACGGGUGAGUAAUGUCUGGGAAACGGCCCGAUGGAGGGGGAUAACUACUGGAAACUGUAGCUAAUACCGCAUACCAUCGGAUGUGCCCAGAUGGGAUGAGCUAGUAGGUGGGGUAAAGGCUCACCUAGGCGACUAUCCCUAGCUGGUCUGAGAGGAGGACCAGCCAGACUGGAACGGAGACACGGUCCAGACUCCUACGGGAGGCAGCAGUGGGGAAUAUUGCACAAUGGGCGCAAGCCAGAUGCAGCCAGGCCGCGUGUGUGAAGAAGGCCUUCGGGUUGUAAAGCACUUUCAGCGGGGAGGCGUUACCCGCAGAAGAAGCACCGGCUAACUCCGUGCCAGCCGCCGCGGUAAUUC
rnacentral:rRNA from 1 species